GUCCUAGCUUCGGCUGGACAUAUACUAAAAUUGGAACGAUACAGAGAAGAUUAGCAUAGCCCCUGCGCAAGGGUGUUCAGGUUUUUUUAAAGACGAUUAAAAUAAUA